UAAGCAUAUCAAUAAGCGGAGGAAAAGAAACCAACAGGGAUUCCCCUAGUAACGGCGAGUGAAGCGGGAACAGCUCAAAUUUGAAAUCUGGCCCUUGGGUCCGAGUUGUAAUUUGCAGAGGAUGCUUUUGGUGCGGUGCCUUCCGAGUUCCCUGGAACGGGACGCCUUAGAGGGUGAGAGCCCCGUACGGUUGGACACCAAGCCUAUGUAAAGCUCCUUCGACGAGUCGAGUAGUUUGGGAAUGCUGCUCAAAAUGGGAGGUAUAUUUCUUCUAAAGCUAAAUAUUGGCCAGAGACCGAUAGCGCACAAGUAGAGUGAUCGAAAGAUGAAAAGCACUUUGAAAAGAGGGUUAAAUAGCACGUGAAAUUGUUGAAAGGGAAGGAUUUAUGACCAGACUUUUUCUAGGGGGAUCAUCCGGUGUUCUCACCGGUGCACUUCCCCUAGUUGAGGCCAGCAUCGGUUUCUGUCGGGGGAUAAAAGCUUUAGGAAUGUGGCUCCCUCCGGGGAGUGUUAUAGCCUGUUGCAUAAUACCCUGACGGGGACCGAGGUUCGCGCAUUGCAAGGAUGCUGGCGUAAUGGUUAUUAAUCACCCGUCUUGAAACACGGACCAAGGAGUCGAACAUUUGUGCGAGUGUUUGGGUGUUAAACCCUCACGCGUAAUGAAAGUGAACGGAGGUGAGAGCCUUUCGGGGUGCAUCAUCGACCGAUCCUGAUGUCUUCGGAUGGAUUUGAGUAAGAGCAUUAAUGUUCGGACCCGAAAGAUGGUGAACUAUGCGUGGAUAGGGUGAAGCCAGAGGAAACUCUGGUGGAGGCUCGCAGCGGUUCUGACGUGCAAAUCGAUCGUCAAAUCUGCGCAUGGGGGCGAAAGACUAAUCGAACCAUCUAGUAGCUGGUUACCGCCGAA
rnacentral:rRNA from 2 species